AGAAUGAACGCUGGCGGCGUGCUUAACACAUGCAAGUCGAACGGAAUCCAAGGAGCUUGCUCUGGAAGAUUUAGUGGCGAACGGGUGAGUAUCACGUGAGCAACCUGCCCCGAAGACUGGGAUAACACCGGGAAACCGGUGCUAAUACCGGAUACCUUCCAAUGACCGCAUGGUCGAUGGAAGAAAUGUUUUUCGCUUCGGGAGGGGCUCGCGGUCCAUCAGCUUGUUGGCGGGGUAACGGCCCACCAAGGCUUCGACGGAUAGCUGGUCUGAGAGGACGAUCAGCCACACUGGAACUGAGACACGGUCCAGACUCCUACGGGAGGCAGCAGUGGGGAAUCUUGCGCAAUGGACGAAAGCCUGAUGGAGCAACGCCGCGUGCAGGAUGAAUGCCUUCGGGUUGUAAACUGCUUUUAUGUACGACGAUUAUGACGGUAGUACAUGAAUAAGGAUCGGCUAACUCCGUGCCAGCAGCCGC
rnacentral:rRNA from 1 species